AUUGAACGCUGGCGGCAGGCCUAACACAUGCAAGUCGAGCGGUAGAGAGAAGCUUGCUUCUCUUGAGAGCGGCGGACGGGUGAGUAAUGCCUAGGAAUCUGCCUGGUAGUGGGGGAUAACGUUCGGAAACGGACGCUAAUACCGCAUACGUCCUACGGGAGAAAGCAGGGGACCUUCGGGCCUUGCGCUAUCAGAUGAGCCUAGGUCGGAUUAGCUAGUUGGUGGGGUAAUGGCUCACCAAGGCGACGAUCCGUAACUGGUCUGAGAGGAUGAUCAGUCACACUGGAACUGAGACACGGUCCAGACUCCUACGGGAGGCAGCAGUGGGGAAUAUUGGACAAUGGGCGAAAGCCUGAACCAGCCAUGCCGCGUGUGUGAAGAAGGUCUUCGGAUUGUAAAGCACUUUAAGUUGGGAGGAAGGGCAGUAAAUUAAUACUUUGCUGUUUUGACGUUACCGACAGAAUAAGCACCGGCUAACUCUGUG
rnacentral:rRNA from 1 species